rnacentral:rRNA from 1 species
UACGGAGGGGGCUAGCGUUGUUCGGAAUUACUGGGCGUAAAGCGCGCGUAGGCGGACCUGCAAGUCGGGGGUGAAAGCCCGAGGCUCAACCUCGGAACUGCCUCCGAUACUGCGGGUCUCGAGUCCGGGAGAGGUGAGUGGAAUUCCUAGUGUAGAGGUGAAAUUCGUAGAUAUUAGGAAGAACACCAGUGGCGAAGGCGGCUCACUGGCCCGGUACUGACGCUGAGGCGCGAAAGCGUGGGGAGCAAACAGG